UACGUAGGGUGCAAGCGUUGUCCGGAAUUAUUGGGCGUAAAGAGCUCGUAGGCGGUCUGUCACGUCGGCUGUGAAAACCCGGGGCUCAACCCCGGGCCUGCAGUCGAUACGGGCAGACUAGAGUGCGGUAGGGGAGACUGGAAUUCCUGGUGAAGCGGUGAAAUGCGCAGAUAUCAGGAGGAACACCGGUGGCGAAGGCGGGUCUCUGGGCCGUAACUGACGCUGAGGAGCGAAAGCGUGGGGAGCGAACAGG
rnacentral:rRNA from 1 species